UACGAAGGGGGGCUAGCGUUGCUCGGAAUCACUGGGCGUAAAGGGUGCGUAGGCGGGUCUUUUAAGUCAGGGGUGAAAUCCUGGAGCUCAACUCCAGAACUGCCUUUGAUACUGAGGAUCUUGAGUUUCGGGAGAGGUGAGUGGAACUGCGAGUGUAGAGGUGAAAUUCGUAGAUAUUCGCAAGAACACCAGUGGCGAAGGCGGCUCACUGGCCCGAUACUGACGCUGAGGUGCGAAAGCGUGGGGAGCAAACAGG
rnacentral:rRNA from 1 species